UGAGAAUCCGUUGGGGCCUCUCAC
rnacentral:siRNA from 1 species